rnacentral:rRNA from 1 species
UACGUAGGGGGCAAGCGUUGUCCGGAAUCAUUGGGCGUAAAGAGCGUGUAGGCGGCCCGGUAAGUCCGCUGUGAAAGUCCAGGCUCAACCCUGGGAUGCCGGUGGAUACUGUCGGGCUCGAGUCCGGAAGAGGAGUGUGGAAUUCCUGGUGUAGCGGUGAAAUGCGCAGACUAUCAGGAGGAACACCAAUGGCGAAGGCAGCACUCUGGGACGUGACUGACGCUGAGACGCG